AGUAGAAACCACUUCCAUAGCUUCGAGGAGAGAGAGAGAGAGAUCGAAUGCAAGAUGAGAAAAUGCAAAGGAAGAGUCUGAGAAGAAAACUAUCAGACACCCCAGUUAGUCGAGACAAGAAAAGGAAGACGGGCCGCGAAGCGACGCUUCUUUGGCCUUGUUGAAGGACAUUUGCAAGGACUGGAGGGGGUGUCAGAGGUGUCCCUUGAACAUAAGAUAUAAGAACAUCGCUUAUCAUUACAUCGGCACAUCCUUCGGCAUGAAAAACAAACAAAUCAGCCUGGAAAUCCUCUCUGAAGACUGCAAUUUUUUUUUCCCCUGAUGAGACAGCACUGUGAAUAUCUGAAAAUGUGAAGCAGUUGCUGUAAGUCACACACAGUAUCAUGGCAGAAGGCAAGGAAAUGCCAGCCUGAGUGGCCAGCUGGUGCCAUUUUAUGCACAGAGAGCUCUUUGCUCUGCAGCCAUCUUGAGGGGGGAAUCCUGCAGCGUCUAAAAUGGAUGGAACGCCACUCAGUGCGGGCAUAAGACUGUCUGAAGAGCUGCAGUUACCAAAGGCGAAGGUGGCCCAAAACGCCACACUGCAGACGAAUGCGUGGAGCAAAUACAACACGCAAAACUGCAAGAAGCUUAAAGGCCUUGGAGAAAGAUAGGCUGCUGUUUGGAUAUUGGACUACCAGUCAUAGGCGAGGACACCUUAUAGAGCACUACUAUUGACAUUUAUUUAUUACUGAUUUUUAUCAGACUUUUGACUGCUGAAAGGAACGCUUUGUAUUUUAGAAGAAGCUUGGAUUUCAGCUUGUGUAUUUUAUUGUAACUGAAUCAAAAAUUUCCCUAUCCACUGCUACUUAGAUCUUUGUUGUUCGUUUUCGCAUACAGCAUCAGCACCAUUGAGGUCCAUUUCAUAAGGCUCAAAAUUAGAGAUGUGUGUGUGUGAUGUGUGUAGGACUGAUGUAGGAAUGGCUCAGUUAGUAAAUACAUCACAACUUCAUAGCACGCCCAGUAAAGGAGGCGUCAUCGCGACAAAAACUGAAAGCAAGUAGCAAGUAUUCCUAAUGGCAGCUCCUACUAUCUCUGCUGCAAAUAUUCCUAAUAAGCUCGGUGAGUCCAAGUUAUUCUUAAAAGAGGAGGCGGUCUUAUUUUGUUUUCGAGCCCACGUAUCUUUAAGAAGUGGGAAGAUUUCAGAACAGCCUUGCUAAAAUUCAUAUAUGAAUUUGAACACAGGAAUAUAUCAAUAUUAACAAAAUUUGAAUGCGUCUUAUUGUUUGCUUAUAGAGAGAAAAUGAAACUUUACCCUGCUUGUACAUUUUUAAAUAGACAUAUUAGAAAUUGCGUUUUGCGGGUUAGUUUGUAUUUCUGCAAUUUUCCGAUAUUUUGCAGGUGCUGGCCUUUGCUGGGAGGGGGUUACACUGUGUACGGAUGGUACAAUGCCCAAUGACAUUACCCUCGCAUCUCAGGGUUUCUGCACUGGGCACAGUUGGCUAUUCCGAUGUAAAGUACCUCUACCGUUGCACUAGAUUGGACCGUGUAUUUUCCCUCCCAUCUCACUCUCCCCAUCCAGUUCAAUCUGCAGUUUGAUGACUGGAAAAUCUGCUAUGAACCAGUGAAAUCUUAAGGGGGUUUACAUUUAUUAUGCCUUUUAAUAUAUUUCUUGAGAUGUUUAAGAGCUUCCUAAAACGUUUGAUGAAACAGACGAAAAUAGGUCUACCACAAAAAUGAGCACGUUAGUCAUUACCAAUACAAACCGUGACAGUAAUUCACUUCGAUGUAGCAUCUCAUUUUUCUGGUGCAGGGGUAAUGUCCCAACUCUGAGCCAGAAGUCCAAAAUCAGAACCCUGUUCUAGAUUUCUGAAGAAGGGUCUAGGCCCGAAAGGUCAGCUUUCCUGCUCCUCUGAUGCUGCUUGGCCUGCUGCGUUCAUCCAGCUCUACACUGUGUUAUCUCAGAUUCUUCAGCAAAUGCAGUUCCUACUAUCCCUGAAACAAUUUUAAUCCCCAUUCUACAUCUGUGUCAUAACAUGUCUGAACAAGUUGUUUUAAGAACAGCUACAGUUCCACUUUGCAUAAUUUAGUCAGUAAAUAUAGUUGGGAACUUUUAAAUAAAUGUUUUUCAAAACAUAUCCAUUAAUGGGCUUACAUUCAAAAUAACUAGCCCAAUUUAGCAGGCUUUUCAUAGGAUCUUCCAGCAAAUUAAUUACUGAAAAUUUCUGCUGAUUACAAACUCACCUGAAACGAACUUUUGUUUUAAAAUAUAAAAAUGUUAGAGAAAUUCAAGUGGACUGGCAGCAUCUGCGCAGAGAAAAUAACAGUUAAUAUUUCGAGCCUAAUUUUACUUGUUCGGAACUGCUUUUAUUGCAAUGAGCAAAAUCUCAGUGAUAGAUACAUGUCGGGAUCAUGGUUAGAUAUCUUAGUGGGGUCAAAUUCAAGCACGACCUUUUAAAGCAAUCACAGAAGAUGGCAAAAACUCUUAAGUUGUGCAGAACCCUCCGCAGUCUCUUGCGCCAAUAUUGAUGAUAGUGUUGGAAUUACACUCAGGGAAGUGCAGCGGCGUGGCAACGCCAAGCCCAAGACUUACGGUGAGAGGCGUGAGAGAAUGGACCAAAUACAGUUUUUUGUUGCAGUCCAAGAGGCAAUGGGGGAAGUAAUGGCUUCAUGGUAUUACCGCUAGUCUAUUAAUCCAGAAAUUCAGUUAAAAUUGCGGAGACUGGAUUUAUAUCCCUCCAUGGCAGAUUGUUAACUUUGAAUUCAAUAAAAAAAUCUGGAAAUAAGGAUCUAAUAAUGACUAUGAAACCUUUUGCAUCCUGAUCAGUUCUGAGGAAGGAUUACCGGACUUGAAACGUUAACUCUUUUGUUUUCCUUCACAGAUGCUGCCAGGCCCGCUGAGCUUUUCCAGCAACUUUGUUUUUUUAUUGUUGUUGUGACUAUGAAACCCUUACCUGGUCUGACCUUACUGUGACUCCAGACGCAUAGCAAUGUAAUUGACUCUUAACUCAAUUAGAAAUAGGCAAUAACUGCCUGAGACGUCCAUACCCAGUGAAUGAAUAAACAAAACAGAAAGAGGACAAAGGACUUUAUCCCCACUUCCAAGUUUGGGUUCAAGAAGCCAUGGCUUCUAAUAAUUUCAAAACGUGUGAUCACAUAUAACUCGAAGAAAGAACGAGGAGGAAGAGAGAGGGAAAAUAAUGGCAAGAGAAAGAUAAGCGUUCUUAAAGAACAUUUCAGGAACAGCGGAAGUCCAAAACGCUUUUAUUCGUAGGCUUAUUAAACAAACAUUUCCGCCGGCUACGAGAAGCAAUUUAUUUAGCGCCGCUCCUGUUUCCGGACUGAGCUUGGCUCUCUCAGCACUGAGAAUAAUGACAAAAACGCGGGAACAUUCAGCAUCUGUCUGGCUAAACAUUUAACACAAAUUUAGCAAGACUCAGAUGUUGACUAUUAUUUCCAAUGGAACUGAUUUUAAAUUGAAAUUAUAUACACAAUUUCCUGCUAAAAUAAUUGUCGGUUAAAUCCAGCGACUAUUAUAAAUCGUAAACCGAAACAUAAACAUAGGAAACAGUAAAACAAUUAGUGUGGAGACUAUUGUUUUAUGUUUUGGAAAUUAAAUUUAAAAUGAGAAUAUCGCGAAAAGAGCGUAGACCUCCAAUAUGAGGGUUGAAAUGGAGCCCCAGCUACCUGUGCAUUAAGAGAUAAUUUAUUUUUGAUACAACCAACAGUUGUAUUGCUCUUUAGUUUACACGUUACACCCUGAUGGAAUGUUUACUUCUUGCACCUUUGUCCAAUCUUUUUUAUUGAGUAAUUAACAAUAAUGUGAAUGAUCAAUUUCUAGAAGAUGUUAUGUUGAAAUUCUACGACAGCUUGCCAGGGACUUUUUAUUGUUGGUAUCUUUUUGUGACUAUUUUUACCCGAAAUGUAUCUUGCGCAAUAAGAGGAAGAAGGGUUGCCUGUAAACUUAAGCAAGUAGAACUUUAAUUCGGAAGAAUCUGAAAUUUCGUGCAUCUCAGGGGUUGGGGACCCAUGCUGAGAAAUUAUUCUGAUUUGAUGCUGUUAGUUCCAGAUGUUUCGGAUUAAACCCUUCACUGGGUGUAAAUUGGAGGAGAGGUUGAUGUACAGAUUUAUGGAGCAAAGCUUCAAAGAAUUUCAAAGAGUAUGAACAGAGGAUUCCAUACUUUUCUGAAACAAAUUUCUUUACAUGUUAAAGGAUGCAACACUAUUUUGAGUAAAAGUUAAUUCUUAUUAGGAUGUUCUUCAAUAAUUAUCGAAUAAAUUCUAAAGGAUGAUCAA